AUUGAACGCUGGCGGCAGGCCUAACACAUGCAAGUCGAGCGGAGCGGCGGACGGGUGAGUAAUGCCUAGGAAUCUGCCUGGUGGUGGGGGAUAACGUCCGGAGACGGGCGCUAAUACCGCAUACUAUCAGAUGAGCCUAGGUCGGAUUAGCUAGUUGGUGGGGUAAAGGCCUACCAAGGCGACGAUCCCUAGCUGGUCUGAGAGGAUGACCAGCCACACUGGAACUGAGAAACGGGCCAGACUCCUACGGGAGGCAGCAGGGGGGAAUAUUGCACAAGGGGCGCAAGCCUGAUGCAGCCAUGCCGCGUGUAUGAAGAAGGCCUUCGGGUUGUAAAGUACUUUCAGCGGGGAGGCGGUACCCGCAGAAGAAGCACCGGCUAACUCCGUGCCAGCAGCCGCGGUAAUUC
rnacentral:rRNA from 1 species